rnacentral:rRNA from 1 species
UGAGGAAUAUUGGGACAAUGGAGGCAACUCUGAUCCAGCCAUGCCGCGUGAAGGACUAAGGCCCUAUGGGCUGUAAACUUCUUUAGACGCAGAGCAAUAAGGUCCACGCGUGGAUCGAUGAGAGUAUGCGUAGAAUAAGCAUCGGCUAACUCCGUGCCAGCAGCCGCGGUAAUACGGGGGAUGCAAGCGUUAUCCGGAUUCAUUGGGUUUAAAGGGUGCGUAGGCGGCUUGGCAAGUCAGCGGUGAAAGGCCCGGGCUCAACCCGGAAAGUGCCGUUGAUACUGUUAGGCUUGAAUGCGGAUGCUGUGGGAGGAAUGAGUGGUGUAGCGGUGAAAUGCAUAGAUAUCACUCAGAACACCGAUUGCGAAGGCAUCUCACAAAUCCGUGAUUGACGCUGAGGCACGAAAGCGUGGGGAUCGAACAGGAUUA